ensembl:lncRNA
CCACACUCCAGUCCAGUAGGUGGUGGUAAUGCACCUUAAGUUGGUUUGCCAUCCGACAUUAAAACAAAAGGAAGUGUGAAUCUGUAACAAGUACUACUUUUUCAGUGUUACUUAUUCACUCUUUGAGGCCUUUUACUACUGCAGUGACUUCUCCUGUUUGUGCUGUAGUAGGCCUAUGUGUGAGAUGAGAGAGCUCAGAGGAGAAUGGGCAGACUGGUUCACGCUGACAGGAAGUCUACAGUAACACAAUAACCAUUCUUUACAACUGUGGUGAGAAGGAAAGCUCAGAUCUCAGAAUGGACAACAUGCUGAAAAUUCAGGCAGUCAGACUUCCACAGCAGAAGACAACAUCGGGUUCCAGCGGGAAUCAAUGGGCAUGAUAAUGAUUGGAGAGGAGAGCUGUUUGAGCGUUUCAUUUACUCUAAGGAAAGACAAGAUCAGAACCAUGAACAUGACUCUACAAAUGAUUUUUAUCUUAUGGAAAGUGACAGUGAUCAAGAUUCGCUGCCCUCUUCUGAUGACCAUCAGUCCAUGGACACUCCCAACACUUUUGAAGGAAAUAUGUUCCUUUUUUCUGUUGGAAGGAAGUCAGAUGCCUCUGAGGCUGACCAACAAUCCAGGAUGGAAGCAAAGCAAAACAACGUAAAGAAGACCAAAGGAACCUGCUUUAAGUCACGCUUUCAGUCUGCACUACAAGCUUUGCUGGUGUCUCGUGCCCCGUUCUGUAUGACCUCAAUUCCCACCAGAGGUAUUCCAUUAAAUUAACCAAGCUCAUCACUGUUAAUGUUAGUUUUUUUAUAUUUUUAAUAUUGGUGGUAUACUGUUUGUUUUCUAUUUUAUUUGUAUACAUAUCUUUAAUGACACAUUUUGCUGG